UCAUCAAAGGCAACUCAGAGGGGACAGUUUCACUCUCAGUAGAAUACUUCAUCAAAUUAAAGUGAAACCUCUUUCUCAUUGACUCAUUCAUGAGCCCAAAAAAAAAAUGAAACCUCCAUUAAACCUCCAUAGCAAUACCUUCAUCAGCCGCUUACCGUGCCGCUCCACCGUCGCUCCACGUUUUCAGCACUGCACCAGUAAAUUAAGUUCGGUCUAUAAAUUCAGGUUCUGUACAACGAUUUCCAAAGGAUGUUUAGGAGACUGAGUCUCAGAACCUAGUUUGUGCGAAGAAUUUGGUGAUAGACAAGAGCAUCCAAACAACAUACAUUGAAGCAAUCAGAUCUGCUCAAAAUUUCUUUUUUUUUUUUUGACAUGAAACAGUAGCAAAAUAUUUAGAAAACUCAAAGCAUGACAGUGUCAUGAGUUACAGAAGAAAGGGCGCAAGGAGUAAUUUCUGAAGGCAGGACCUCAUUUGCCUUCUCAUACUCACCCACGAUCCCAACAGCUCUGCAGACAACAUCUUCAAUCAAUAUCUCACGUCGCUCAAAGGUGGCUGCGUUGCGCUUGAGCCAAACCUCCCAUAGGAGACUCCAAAAAAUAUCCCACCAUCUCUUUUCCUUGAAAUUGUUCGCUAGGUAACCCAUCCACUCCCACAUUGUCAUUACGAUACAUUGCAUUUUUUGACAUCCUAACGCAGAGGGGAACAAGCCCAAAUGAUGGCAGCAGCAGGACACUUGAAAAAUGCUUGGCCAAAUUACAAAAAAGCAGGUGCUGAUCAUUUGAUACCAAUGGAGUUGGCCUUGAAGAUUGUUAGCAAAAUCCGAGCCAAAGAGAGAUUUGUUGUCUAAGUUGUCAUCCCUAUGUGAAUUAUAGAUCAAUAUGGUAUUGGUAUAUCUAAGCAUUAUUUUUUUAAAAUCAACAUUAACGAGAAAGGUGUUUUGAUAUUAAACUCAAGUAUUUAUUUGUAUAGAACAAAUUUUGUAUGGAUGAUUCAAUUUAAUUGUGGUUGGAUGUUUUAAAUUAUAUAUAUGAAGUAUAUUUUGAUUGCUUUCA